ACAGGUAUGAUGAAAUUUGGUAAACAUAUUAGAUUUAGAAUCUAAAUUACGUGAAAGUUUUUAAGGGUUCGAGUCCCUUUACCUGUA
rnacentral:tRNA from 1 species